ACCACUUUGUGGUUCAUGACUGGGGUGAAGUCGUAACAAGGUAGCCCUAGGGGAACCUGGGGCUGGAUCACCUCCUUAUACGAUGAU
rnacentral:rRNA from 1 species